rnacentral:lncRNA from 1 species
CUAGUCUCUGUCCCCUCAGUCCCCUCAGUCCCCUCAGUCUCCUCAGUCCCCUCAGUCCUCUCAGUCCCCUCACUCCCCUCAGUCCUCUCAGUCCCCUCAGUCCCCUCACUCCCUUCAGUCUCCUCAGUCCCCUCAGUCUCCUCUGUCCCCUCAGUCCCCUCAGUCUCCUCUGUCCCCUCAGUCCUCUCAGUCCCCUCAGUCUCCUCAGUCCCCUCACUCCCCUCAGUCCUCUGUCUCCUCAGUCCUCUCAGUCUCCUCAGUCUCCUCACUCCCCUCACUCUCCUCACUCCCCUCAGUCCCCUCACUCCCCUCAGUCCCCUCAGUCCUCUCAGUCCCCUCAGUCCUCUCAGUCCCCUCAGUAUCCUCACUCCCCUCAGUCCCCUCAGUCUCCUCAGUCCUCUCAGUCUCCUCAGUCCCCUCAGUCCCCUCAGUCUCCUUACUCCCCUCACUCUCCUCACUCUCCUCACUCCCCUCAGUCCUCUCAGUCCCCUAACUCCCCUCCGUCUCCUCAGUCCUCUGUCUCCUCUGUCCUCUCAGUCCCCUCAGUCUCCUCAGUCCCCUCACUCCCCUCAGUCCUCUCAGUCUCCUCACUCCCCUCACUCCCCUCAGUCCCCUCAGUCUCCUCAGUCCUCUCAGUCUCCUCAGUCCCCUCAGUCUCCUCACUCCCCUCACUCUCCUCACUCCCCUCAGUCCUCUCAGUCCCCUAACUCCCCUCCGUCUCCUCAGUCCUCUGUCUCCUCUGUCUCCUCUGUCCCCUCAGUCCUCUCAGUCCCCUCAGUCUCCUCAGUCCCCUCAGUCCUCUCAGUCCCCUCACUCCCUUCAGUCUCCUCAGCCCCCUCAGUCUCCUCAGUCCCCUCACUCCCCUCAGUCCUCUGUCUCCUCAGUCCUCUCAGUCCCCUCAGUCUCCUCAGUCCCCUCAGUCCUCUCAGUCUCCUCACUCCCCUCAGUCCCCUCAGUCUCCUCAGUCUCCUCAGUCCCCUCAGUCCCCUCAGUCUCCUCAGUCCCCUCAGUCCUCUCAGUCCCCUCACUCCCCUCAGUCCUCUCAGUCCCCUCAGUCCCUUCAGUCUCCUCAGUCGCCUCAGUCUCCUCAGUCCCCUCAGUCCCCUCAGUCUCCUCUGUCCCCUCAGUCCCCUCAGUCCCCUCAGUCUCCUCAGUCUCCUCAGUCCUCUCAGUCUCCUCAGUCCCCUCAGUCUCCUCACUCCCCUCACUCUCCUCACUCCUCUCAGUCCUCUCAGUCCUCUCAGUCCCCUCAGUCCUCUCAGUCCUCUCAGUCCC